rnacentral:tRNA from 1 species
UCCCUGGUGGCUCAGAUGGUAAAGCGUCUGCCUACAAUGCAGGAGACCUGGGUUUGAUCCCUGGGUUGGGAA